GACGAACGCUGGCGGCGUGCUUAACACAUGCAAGUCGAACGGAAAGGCCCUGCUUUUGUGGGGUGCUCGAGUGGCGAACGGGUGAGUAACACGUGAGUAACCUGCCCUUGACUUUGGGAUAACUUCAGGAAACUGGGGCUAAUACCGGAUAGGAGCUCCUGCUGCAUGGUGGGGGUUGGAAAGUUUCGGCGGUUGGGGAUGGACUCGCGGCUUAUCAGCUUGUUGGUGGGGUAGUGGCUUACCAAGGCUUUGACGGGUAGCCGGCCUGAGAGGGUGACCGGCGACAUUGGGACUGAGAUACGGCCCAGAAUCCUACGGGAGGCAGCAGUGGGGAAUAUUGCACAAUGGGCGGAAGCCUGAUGCAGCAACGCCGCGUGCGGGAUGACGGCCUUCGGGUUGUAAACCGAUGUCGCCUGUGACGAAGCGUGAGUGACGGUAAUGGGUAAAGAAGCACCGGCUAACUACGUG
rnacentral:rRNA from 1 species